rnacentral:lncRNA from 1 species
CAUUUCCUGUGGCAUUUGGAGGUUCCCAGGCUAGGGGUCGAAUUGGAGCUGUAGCCUCUGGCCUACACCACAGCCACAGCAACGCAGGAUCCGAGCUGUGUCUGCAAACUACACCACUGCUCAUGGCAACGCUGGAUCCUCAACCCACUGAGCAAGGCCAGGGAUCGAACCCGAAACUUCAUGGUUCCUAGUCGGAUUCGUUAACCACUGAGCCAUGACGGGAACUCUGGUAAUAGUGUUCCUUUAAAAAUGUAAACCUAAUUUAGAAGCCAUUGAAUAUUAGGACACUACCAAAUCUCACAUUUUACCAGAGGGCUUUCUUCUCCAUCAUACAGAAAUGCGAGGGAAUGCAACCCCGGAGAAAUAAGCUGUAGUGAACGGCCACAAAGCAGGAACAAAUACAGUACAGUCUCUAAAGAGAGAAACAGUGGUUAUCUUAUUGGGGCCUGGAAAAGCAGUAGGAACUUGGUUUUUUCUGAUUACAGAAAGGUGCAAAUAAUAAAAGAGCACAGAAGAGCGCCCAGGAGAAAGCUGUCUCCUCCUCACUUCUGCUCCCCCUUCCUGCUGGCUGUUAUUCUUGUAAAUGGGUGGUGCUGGCUGGAAAGGGGACCCAGGAAGGGAUUAGGGGCGCUCCAAGAGACUCUCCGCUGUGGAGAAAUGCUGAAAGAUGUCUGCAGACCGAAAAACUCCAGAUGAAUGUAUUCACAACGCAAUGUCACACGUAUUCUAGAUUGCGUAACACACCCAUCCUUGUUCCCAGAGCAUAACCAACUUUCACCGUAAGUCCUCCUUCCCCUCUUCUCUCUUCCUCCUUCUCCGCCUCCUUCUGUUUUUACUGCAGUUUUGUUACUUAGGCUCAGUGAUUCUUCCUGCCUUUCCUUCCCACAGUGACAUUCCGGGUCUCGCCCAACCACUGAGGUCAUUUCUCCAGUAUUUAAUUUCUACCUCCUUCGCUGAGCUUUCUCUAAUCUUAACCCACAUUGACCUCCCAUUUGAGGAUGAAUACUUAGUUGCACACUACCUUAAAUUGCUCCUUGUUAUUUCAAGUAUUAUUUAAUCUUGUUAGCUGAGCACAUUGGGAAAUGCUUUGAAGGUUGAAACCAUAUCCCUAUUUAUUUCUCUGUAUACACUCUAUGUUGAGGGUAUAGAAUCCUCAAAUAACUGUUUCUCAAACAAAUUACAGGUUUCUAAUAAAUAAUGUCUUACUGACUGUCUUCCCUCUGUAUGCUCAGGAAAGUGUAUAUGUUAUUAUACUGCAAAGAAAAGGAUUUAUUAAUGUUCACGAUUUAUCUAGUAUACUUACAUUUGUGUCUUUCCAGGUUGAAAUCUAUCCUUUACUUACUGCUCUAGUCAAAACAAACAAGUGAACAAAAAAAAAGUCUCCAAAAGAGGAAAAAAAAAAAAAAAACCCACAAAAAAAUAACAACGGUAAUAAAACAAAACCCAAAAACAUAGCAAGAAAAACACACACACAAAAAUCCAAGCAUUCAUGACAUGAAUAAAAAUAAUACAUUUGUAAGGUCAACAUAGAUAAUUAAGUAUGGAUUAGAACUGGGAAAGAAUUACUGGGCCAAGGCUAUGUUUAUUAUCCUGGAAUUGAAGCAAAUAUUUGAAAUGAAUUAAUACUGGAUAGAGCAGCAUCUGAUUUUUUCCACAUAAUCUAUUUUAGAUCAAGAGUACUUUGUGGCAAGAACAUGAAAUCAGUUGAGACCAGCUGACCUUUGCAAAGAGUUGUGGCUGGUUAACUUCAUAGUUCACUUCAUAUUGUAUUUGAGACAUGAAAGAAAAAUCUUCCAGUCCCCAUCUGCUGAAUUAUUCCCCUCCCCUCCUUCAAAGCCCAUACAGAAAACCACCUCUACCAAAAGCCUUCAAUACAAAUAACCACUCUGUCAUAUCUGAGCAGUGAAACAGCCCUUUUAACUCUUGAUGAAUUCAAGCAAACAAGAAGACAACACCAUUAAACAUAAUUAAAUAUGCAGCAGAGUCUUUUUUUCUUUUUCCUUUGCUUUAAAAACAUUUCCCCCCCAUCCCGACUGCUCUCUUAGUUUGUCAAAUCAGCUUGAAAUUAAAUGAAUGAUAAGGAGCAACUGAUAUUUUUUGGGUGGGGGGCCUGUGUUAAGAACAUAAACUCUGCAGAGUAUCUGCUAAAAUUAAAAUGUAUCCAGCCAUGUUCUUUUUUAAUUAUAGCUUCUCUCUGGCUAAAACUAAAGCUUUUUCUAAAUGUUUGGUAGCAGACUGCUUCCAGCAUUGGCAUAGCCAUAACUCUCUUGCAAGUUGAGUAUUAUAGAUGUCGCCAAGCUGGAAAUAGGACUGUUAAGAGAGUCCUGUCUUUCUCCAUCAACUGCUGUUCCUCAGUACUUCCCAGGUAGGCUGUAGCCAGAUGAACGCCAACACCCAGUACACUCCCAAUAGUUGCCUAAACCACAAAGGCAUUUCAUUCACAUGGUGGAGUUUGAGCUUGGCAUUGUGCAAUGAGCUUUUUUGUCUGUAUCUGUAUUUCUUUGCAUCUGUGAACUUGAACUCUUCUUCCUUUAACUGUUCUGCUCCAUUAUACCUAAUGGAAUGUGCCUACCUCCUCUCUCUAUAACACAAAAUUAUCUUUUUAUUCAAGCCAAUUUUUGAUCUAAUGUAGACAUUGAUCUCUUACUAAGAAUAUUAAUUCCAGGGGGAGGGGGAGGGAGUGGGGUGGUUGGGGAACUCGGGGUUAAUAGGUACAAACUAUUGCCUUCGGAAUAGAUUAGCAAUGAGAUCCUGCUGUGUAGCACUGGGAACUACGUCUAGUCACUUAUGAUGGAGCAUGAUAAUGUGAGAAAAUAGAAUGUGUACAUGUAUGUGUACAGCAGAAAAAAAAUGUAUUGGAAAAACAACUAUUAAAAAAAAAAGAAUAUUAAUUCCCAUUUUUUUCCCCCAUGGAGAUCUCACCACCCACUGGCCUUGAUUAAGUGGGCUUGUGUGAGAACUGGCUUUUCUUUGUGCACUAUUUCUUGAUCAGUGAACCAGCUGUGUGAGCAAGUAUGGUGUAAGAGACGAACAUUAUUUUAUUUUAUUUUAUUUUUACAUGUUUCUACAUUCACAUAACAUAAUAGUUGGAAUGGAAGGACCGUGCCCUUUGAAGUACCUCCCAUUUUUAUCAUUUUAAGACCAUCAUGUCCUGCUAUGUGACCUUCCCUAACACAUCACUGCUAUUGUCCACCACGCCCUGCAAUUUAUCUCAUGUUAUAUAAGUGGUUUGGCAAAAAUCUUUCAUUUCCAUGUUUGGCCUCUCUUAUUCUUCUUCUGCCCAGUUCAUCAAAUCUCAACUCUAGAUAACCUCUAGCAGUUGCUUUUCCUUUUUUUUUCUUUUUGAGUCUACAGAAUAUUUUCAAAGUUCCCUAACAUUGAAAAGUUACAUCUUGGUUCAGUUUUAGCAUCUAAUUUAGAAGUAUUGCUUCCUUUAAUCUCCCAACACCAUCCUGACACCCCACUAUCUUAGGGAUAAAACACAUGAGGCUUGCUCACUUUUGUCUGUUUUAAUAUUUACUCAUCUAUCUCCCUCUCUCUCCCAUCUUCAGUUUAAACUUCAGAUAUCUCUCAAUAUGCUGGACUCCAAACAUUACUAGUGUUUUCAGAAUAUUAAUAUUACAAGCAUUAACUUUUCCUAACAUCUUCACUCUAUUCCAAUCUUCAGAUAUAUGUAUUUUAAAUAAAAACAAGGGCAAAACGAAAGCUCAUUCAUUCAGCAAAUGUUUAUUGAACUGCUGCUCUACAUAGACACUUUUGUAGAUGCUGGGGUGCAAGGAACUAGGAUUCCAUGUAUAAAGACUUUUGAGUACUUGCUGCCUUUUAUAUAUACAUAUUGAAUUUCUUACUUUCUUCAAAAACGUUUCAAAUAUGGUCCUAAAUUCAUUCCUCUACUUUUAUUCUAGCCAUUUCCUUAGAAAUCUCUUACAAUAUGGCUUUGGCUCCAUGGAUACCAUUCUCACAAGGACUAAGAUAAAAUGAUGGCUCUUUUGUCCUGUUAGAAGGUCUUUUCUCCAUCCUCAUUCUCUUUGUUAACCUAACUUUGUCUUAUAUUCUGUUUUCCAUUUUUCCAGGCUCUCAUUUAAUGUCUCAGACUUUUUCUCUCUUCUCUCACCUUAAGUCUGGUUAUCCUGUAAGGUGUUAUAAAUCCUAUAAUGUUUUCUCUUUAUUCAUUCCAUCAAAAAGUAAUUAUAUUUUAAAGAAGAUUUAUCACUGUCGUCAUUUUGUCUUGCUCCCAAAAUUAUAUCCCAACACUGUGUCCUCAUACCCUCUCUGGAGCUGACAUUUCCAAUGGUGUAUCUAGUAUUUCUAUCUGAAUUCUCUGUCACCCUUCAAAUUCAACAUGAUUAUAGCUAUGAUGUAAAUCUUGGACAGGAUGAAUUAUGGAAGGACUGGAACUCAACCUGGAAUGAGGGCUCAUAGACAGUGAACUUUUCUGUACUGCCUUCCUCAGCAACAUCAGUGGGAAAUGUCCAAUGGACAUGAUCAUUCUAUUUUCAGUUCAAGAAAAGCCAAACCAGUAGAUCUAAAACAUUAUCAGAGGCACAAUGCCAGGAAUUAUGGGAAAAGGGUAGACGUGUAGGAAGCUAUUUAAGCUUAGCCAGCUCGCCAUUCAUAGUUGGAUAUAUGAAAAAUAUACAACACAUGAAGAAGAAAGAGACAUAGAAGGCACUUUGAAUUCAGUUACUAGAUGAAAUUCAUGGAACCAUCCCAGAAUAUAAA